CAUACCAUUUGCAAAAGUCGACAACCCACGGUCAAGCAAAUGGGGUAUGUUCAGUCUUUUUUAGUAGCCACUUAGUCACAAACACUGGUCAAAAUUAGCGUUUAUAAUAGUUUUUUGCAUUUUUAACACACAAACACAUAUAAAUGCUAACUUUGGCCAAUGUUUGUGACAAAGUGGUGACUAAAAAAGACUGGACAUACCCCAUAUUGAAUACCCUGGGUUGUCUACAUUUAAAAAUAUAUGGUUUG